GGUAGAUUGGUGUCUUCCAGGGGAGACUGGUAUGUCAAGGGACUAUCGCAACCAACUAGAGACCUACUAUGGGACUCAUGGACGCCAGGUAUUCCCCCGAAAUAACUUAUCCGCAUGGAACACCUUGAGUUUGCUGGUGUAUGGGAAGGGACUGCGAUCCCUUUAUUACCCCUAUCUCCACGAUGCUGGAUCUUUAUCAUACCUUUUCACUACAGGCCGAUCGGAACGUUCCAUUAACGGGCUACGUUCCGCAAUUUCGGAGCCUUUGAUAUGCCAUUUUCUGUGGGGUAUUAAACCGUCCAGAACCAUGCGUCAAAGUAUCACUGGUGUGGGACUUUGAUUUGGUUCUUUUGGAGCUAGUCAGAUAUCACGGUCCUAUCCCUCAGUCAGCCAUUAGCCAGAGUCACGUUACUUUUAGGUCUUUUCGUCGGGUAUCAGAUGUACUGGAGUUCGACGUAGACGGUCUUUUCGGUAUCACCAGAAAGAAUAAUUUCUACAGUGUCUUGUAGAACUAUAUCUUAUCCGUGUCCGUAUCGUUCCCUGUUACCGACUGUUUCCCAGCCUUUGUGCAGUUAAAGGGGUACUUUGUUACAUGGAGAUCACAACAACACUUAGAAUGUCACAUUCAGGACAUCUGCUGGUCUUAUACCAACCGUACAAGCCAGUUACCAUGAACACUCUGUCUAGAUGGGUUCAUUGGUUGUUAUCGCUAGCGAGGGUGGAGACGUGUUUGGGUACUCAUUCGGUAAGAGG
rnacentral:lncRNA from 1 species